rnacentral:rRNA from 1 species
CUAGUCAGUGAGGAAGGUGGAGUAUGUUAUAGCAUAUUCAUUUGACGUUAGUCUUCUAGAAGAAGCACCGGCUAACUCCGUGCCAGCAGCCGCGGUAAUACGGAGGGUGCGAGCGUUAAUCGGAAUUACUGGGCGUAAAGCGCAUGCAGGUGGUUUGUUAAGUCAGAUGUGAAAGCCCGGGGCUCAACCUCGGAAUUGCAUUUGAAACUGGCAAACUAGAGUACUGUAGAGGGGGUAGAAUUUCAGGUGUAGCGGUGAAAUGCGUAGAGAUCUGAAGGAAUACCGGUGGCGAAGGCGGCCCCCUGGACAGAUACUGACACUCAGAUGCGAAAGCGUGGGGAGCAAACAGGAUUAGAUACCCUGGUAG